AAGGCUUUAAGUUAAUUUAAAACUAAUAUCCUUCAAAGCUAUAAAUAAAGAUUUAAAGUUCUUUAAGUCUUA
rnacentral:tRNA from 1 species